UACGUAGGGCGCGAGCGUUGUCCGGAAUCAUUGGGCGUAAAGAGCUCGUAGGUGCCUGUCGCGUCGGCUGUGAAAACUCGGGGCUCAACUCCGAGCUUGCAGUCGAUACGGGCAGGCUAGAGUUCGGCAGGGGAGGACUGGAAUUCCUGGUGUAGCGGUGAAAUGCGCAGAUAUCGGGAGGAACACCGGUGGCGAAGGCGGUUCUCUGGCCUGUACUGACGCUGAGGAGCGAAAGCGUGGGGAGCGAACAGGAUUGAGAUACCCAGUAGC
rnacentral:rRNA from 1 species